rnacentral:rRNA from 1 species
UACGUAGGGGGCAAGCGUUGUCCGGAUUUAUUGGGCGUAAAGAGCUCGUAGGCGGCCUGUUGCGUCCGCUGUGAAAGCCCGGGGCUUAACCCCGGGUCGGCAGUGGAUACGGGCAGGCUAGAGGUAGGUAGGGGAGAAUGGAAUUCCCGGUGUAGCGGUGAAAUGCGCAGAUAUCGGGAGGAACACCGGUGGCGAAGGCGGUUCUCUGGGCCUUACCUGACGCUCAGGGGCGAAAGCUAGGGGAGCGAACGGG